UACGAAGGGGGCUAGCGUUGUUCGGAUUUACUGGGCGUAAAGCGCACGUAGGCGGAUCGAUCAGUCAGGGGUGAAAUCCCGGAGCUCAACUUCGGAAUUGCCUUUGAUACUGUCAAUCUCGAGUCCGGGAGAGGUGAGUGGAAUUCCUAGUGUAGAGGUGAAAUUCGUAGAUAUUAGGAAGAACACCAGUGGCGAAGGCGGCUCACUGGCCCGGUACUGACGCUCAUGUGCGAAAGCGUGGGGAGCAAACAGG
rnacentral:rRNA from 1 species